rnacentral:rRNA from 1 species
AAUUUUGGACAAUGGGCGCAAGCCUGAUCCAGCCAUUCCGCGUGCAGGAUGAAGGCCCUCGGGUUGUAAACUGCUUUUGUACGGAACGAAACGGCGCUUUCUAAUACGGAGCGCUAAUGACGGUACCGUAAGAAUAAGCACCGGCUAACUACGUGCCAGCAGCCGCGGUAAUACGUAGGGUGCAAGCGUUAAUCGGAAUUACUGGGCGUAAAGCGUGCGCAGGCGGUGAUGUAAGACAGAUGUGAAAUCCCCGGGCUCAACCUGGGAACUGCAUUUGUGACUGCAUCGCUGGAGUGCGGCAGAGGGGGAUGGAAUUCCGCGUGUAGCAGUGAAAUGCGUAGAUAUGCGGAGGAACACCGAUGGCGAAGGCAAUCCCCUGGGCCUGCACUGACGCUCAUGCACGAAAGCGUGGGGAGCAAACAGGAUUAGAUACCCUGGUAGUCCACGCCCUAAACGAUGUCAACUGGUUGUUGGGUCUUCACUGACUCAGUAACGAAGCUAACGCGU